CUCUCUCUGUUUUUUUUUUUUUUGUGUAUUUUCUUUUCUCCUUAUUUCUUGUUCUUUCUCUCUCUGUUUUCUUUUCUUCUGCAAAGAUCCAAUUGCACCUUGGGUGCCUCUGCUAGUCCUUGAAUUCUCUAAUCUCUGUUCCCAAUUACACUUAAUCCAUGAAAAGAUCAAGUGAGUUUGGGAUCAGAAAUUAGAGAUAUCAAUACUUGCAACUAGAACUGAUGAGUGGUCCGAUAACGAAACCUGAUAACAGGUGGUCCAAAGAAUCGUGAAGAGGCUAUACCAUAUUAGAAAUUGUCGUUGGGCCUAACACAACUCCACAAAACCGGCUUGUGAGGUGAGGAUUGCUCCCACUUAUAAACAAAUUAUCAGGCCAACUCCUAACUGAUGUGGGACUCUUAACAAGAUCCAAGUUGAAGAUGAAUUGUAUUAUUGUUAAGCAUAGAAGUUUAUAUUAUCAUUAGAUGUUGAUGUUUUUUGUUUCCAUGACUACCUUGAUCAAUAAGGGAACAUGUCUGCAGUAGUUGUUUUGUUGAUAAAUUUGGUUGAAGAGGAACCUUGUUGUUAAGGGAAAACCUUGAGUUUGUUAUGUUGAAUUCAAAAUUGACAUAUAAAUCCGAUUACCUCAGUAAUAACAUAAUCUUUUCUGUCAAUGGCAUAUCCGGUGUUUUCAUAUAUGAUUUUGUUUACCGUGUUUAUCAGGUGUCUGUAAGAAAUUACAUGAUACACUCGUUCCAUCAUAUAUUCACAUUCAUUCCGAAGAUUACUGGUGAACUGUUCCAUUGUGUCAUUCCAAAGUUAUGAGUUUAACACGUUUCUUUGAAGAUGUUAUUUUCUCAUCAGAUUGAUACAUAGGUUAUGUGCUUCAGAUUGUGUGUAUGUCGAAUGCAAUAAAUUAAGUGUUGCAGAUUGAUAUAAUAUCAGUAUGCUGCAUUAAGAGAUAUGGCCGUGAAGAAGAUUGGGACAAUGGUAUUGCCAACAAGUGCAAAAUUGUAGAGUACUGUUUAGCAGUGUGACCGUGUUCUUUAUAUAAGUGCAGUGCAGCAACGUUAUGCAGCUUCAGGUACACACUGGUUUUGAGCUUCAAGCUGACUCUGUGAAAGAGGUUAUGGUGGUGUCAGUAGAAUAAAGUGUUGUAGAUUGAUAUAAAUGUUAAAAUGUUGCAUGAAGAUGAACGGAUAAGGUUGUGAAGAAGAUUGAGACAAUGGUACUGUGAAAGGAAGUUUGGAAAGUAUUGCUUGGGAUACCGGCAAAAUUGAAGACUAUUUAGAGAUGCAUCCAUGUUCUUACAUGGACGCGGUAGAGUUAUGCAAGUUUAGGUAUAAAAAUUGGUUUCAAGCUUUUAGCUUUCUUCCUAAAGCUGCAAAAGAGACUGUGCUUUUAGUAUGGUAUAACAUGGUUAGGUGAUGGCGUGAUUUGGAAAGAGACUGUACUUUCUGGAUUUUAUUCUUAAGAAUACAUGUGAGUUGUUCUUUUAAAGAUGUGAUUUUUCUCAGAACCGUGAUCACAUGUUAGCAGAACGCGAUAAAGUGUUGCAUAUUGAUAUAAUGCUAUAUGCUGCAUAAUGGGAUAAUGUUGUGAAGAA